rnacentral:tRNA from 1 species
GCGGAUGUGGUGUAAAGGCAACACCGGAGUAUGCCAAACUUCAGAUGCGAGUUCAACUCUCGUCGUCCGCU